UACGGAGGGGGCAAGCGUUGUUCGGAAUUACUGGGCGUAAAGGGCUCGUAGGUGGUCAACUAAGUCGGACGUGAAAUCCCUCGGCUUAACCGGGGAACUGCGUCCGAUACUGGAUGACUUGAGUUCGGGAGAGGGAUGCGGAAUUCCAGGUGUAGCGGUGAAAUGCGUAGAUAUCUGGAGGAACACCGGUGGCGAAGGCGGCAUCCUGGACCGACACUGACGCUGAGGAGCGAAAGCCAGGGGAGCAAACGGG
rnacentral:rRNA from 1 species